rnacentral:rRNA from 1 species
UACGUAGGGUGCAAGCGUUAAUCGGAAUUACUGGGCGUAAAGCGUGCGCAGGCGGUUUUGUAAGUCUGUCGUGAAAUCCCCGGGCUCAACCUGGGAAUUGCGAUGGAGACUGCAAGGCUAGAAUCUGGCAGAGGGGGGUAGAAUUCCACGUGUAGCAGUGAAAUGCGUAGAGAUGUGGAGGAACACCGAUGGCGAAGGCAGCCCCCUGGGUCAAAACUGACGCUCAUGCACGAAAGUGUGGGGAGCAAACAGG